GAUGAACGCUGGCGGCGUGCCUAACACAUGCAAGUCGAACGAAGCUCCGAUUCUUGAGAUUUCGGUCAAGAGGAAAGGAUGACUUAGUGGCGGACGGGUGAGUAAUACGUGAGCAACCUGCCUUUCAGAGGGGGACAACAGUUGGAAACGACUGCUAAUACCGCAUAAUGUAUCGAGGUGGCAUCACCAUGAUACCAAAGAUUUAUCGCUGAAAGAUGGGCUCACGUCUGAUUAGUUAGUUGGUAGGGUAAUGGCCUACCAAGACUGCGAUCAGUAGCCGGACUGAGAGGUCGAACGGCCACAUUGGGACUGAGAUACGGCCCAGACUCCUACGGGAGGCAGCAGUGGGGAAUAUUGGGCAAUGGGCGCAAGCCUGACCCAGCAACGCCGCGUGAAGGAAGAAGGCUUUCGGGUUGUAAACUUCUUUUAGCAGGGACGAAACAAAUGACGGUACCUGCAGAAUAAGCUCCGGCUAACUACGUGCCAGCAGCCGAC
rnacentral:rRNA from 1 species